rnacentral:rRNA from 1 species
UACGGAGGAUGCGAGCGUUAUCCGGAUUUAUUGGGUUUAAAGGGAGCGUAGGCGGCUUAGUAAGUCAGAAGUGAAAGCCCGCAGCUCAACUGCGGGACUGCUUUUGAAACUGCCAGGCUAGAGUGUCGGAGAGGUAAGUGGAAUUCCUAGUGUAGCGGUGAAAUGCGUAGAUAUUAGGAGGAACACCAGUGGCGAAGGCGGCUUACUGGACGAUGACUGACGCUGAGGCUCGAAAGCGUGGGGAGCAAACAGG